ensembl:lncRNA
AAGGUUAUUUAAACUCAAUAAAAAAAAUGUAUAAUGAAGCUUUAUUAGGUUUAGAACCUAUGUUACCAUCUAUUGAUAACAAAAUAACAAAAGAUGAUAUUAUUAGUAUAGCUAGUUUAAUAUAUAAAGAAAAAAGAAAAGUAUAUAAAAAUGAAAUAGAUCAAAUGUUAAAAACAGAUGAAAAUUUUAAUGUUGAUGAAGUCUUUUCAAAUCCUAUUUCUUUUGAAAAAUUAACCAAAUCAACUGAACAUAUAGAAGAAAAAAUAAUUGAUGAAAAUAAAACAAUUGUACCAGAUGUAUUUACUUUUAAAUAUCUACUUAAUUAUUAUUCAAAUGAUCUUGAUUUUUUACAAAAAAAAAAAUAUUUAGAAUCAAAACAUGGAGAAAAAAUGGUUAAAAUAUUAAAAGUUAAAAAAAAAAAAAAAAAAAAAAAAACAACAACAACAAACAAAGAAUUGAGUAGUAGUAGCAAUAUUAGUUCAAAAAGUACACUAAGUCGGUGUUCAAUAGCUGAUAGUACAACUUCUAAAACAAAAAUUAAUUUUUCUAUUAAUGAUCAAAUAGAUAAUAAAAUUGUUGACAAAAAUGAUGAUAUUGUUUAUGGAGCUACAAAUGUAAAUAUAGGACUCAAACCAAAAUUUAAUUUAAAUGAAGAUAUGACAGAUAAUAUGACAAAAAAUGUUACAAAUAAUAUGACCGUUAAUGUGAUUGAUAAUAUUUUGGAAAAAAACAAUACUAACAAAACAAAUAUAACAACUCUUGAUAUUAAGAGUGAAGAAAAUAAAUCAAAUAUUCUAUACGAUGAUAAAACAAAUUUGAAAAUAAAUAAUAAUGAAGAGUUAGGAAAUAUUAAUAUAAAAAAUGUUAAUAAUUUAAAUAAUAAAAUAGAAAAUAAUGAACAAGAUAAUAAAAUAAAAUAUAACAACAAAAAAGAAAGUUAUAACAAAAAAGAUGAUAAAAAAAUAAACAAUUUAAACGAUAUAAAAAUUAAUAAUGAAAAAAUUAAUCAACAAAUAGAUGAAGAUAAAGUAAGAGAAAAUAUAACCAACAUACUGACUGAACAAAUAAAUGUAAAAGUCCAAAAUAAUGACAAUGUUAAGGAUAAAGUAGUACAAAAUGAUCAAACAAGCGAGUUAAUGGGAGAACCCACAGCAAAAGAACCAGAAGUAAAAGAACCAGAAACUGUAGUGCCAGAAGUAAAAGAACCAGAAGCAGUA